AGUGGCGAACGGGUGAGUAACGCGUGGAUGAUCUACCUACGAGAUGGGGAUAACUAUUAGAAAUAGUAGCUAAUACCGAAUAAAGUCAAUUAAUUUGUUAAUUGAUGAAAGGAAGCCUUUAAAGCUUCGCUUGUAGAUGAGUCUGCGUCUUAUUAGCUAGUUGGUAGGGUAAAUGCCUACCAAGGCGAUGAUAAGUAACCGGCCUGAGAGGGUGAACGGUCACACUGGAACUGAGAUACGGUCCAGACUCCUACGGGAGGCAGCAGCUAAGAAUCUUCCGCAAUGGGCGAAAGCCUGACGGAGCGACACUGCGUGAAUGAAGAAGGUCGAAAGAUUGUAAAAUUCUUUUAUAAAUGAGGAAUAAGCUUUGUAGGAAAUGACAAAGUGAUGACGUUAAUUUAUGAAUAAGCCCCGGCUAAUUACGUGCCAGCAGCCGCGGUAAUACGUAAGGGGCGAGCGUUGUUCGGGAUUAUUGGGCGUAAAGGGUGAGCAGGCGGAUAUAUAAGUCUAUGCAUAAAAUACCACAGCUCAACUGUGGAACUAUGUUGGAAACUAUAUGUCUAGAGUCUGAUA
rnacentral:rRNA from 1 species